rnacentral:lncRNA from 1 species
AUGCCUAUUCACACACCUCUUAUUAUUAGGAUACCACUUUAAUUAUAAUAUAAAACCAUCUUUUCCACAUCUUUCUAGACCAAACACAAUCAUUCAAUCUCUUUGCUUCACUUUCAACAUGAAACACACUCCUUCCUCGCUCAUUCCUUUUAUAAUUAUAUAUAGUCUCUCCAUCACCUAAUCUUUUUCAUAAUUACUACUAAUUCAUAUCACAAACAUACCAAUU